GGCGGAGGAUGCGAGUGUUAUCCGGAAUCACUGGGCGUAAAGCGUCUGUAGGUGGUUUAAUAAGUCAACUGUUAAAUCUUGAGGCUCAACCUCAAAAUCGCAGUCGAAACUAUUAGACUAGAGUAUAGUAGGGGUAAAGGGAAUUUCCAGUGGAGCGGUGAAGUGCGUAGAGAUUGGAAAGAACACCGAUGGCGAAGGCACUUUACUGGGCUAUUACUAACACUCAGAGACGAAAGCUAGGGUAGCAAAUGGG
rnacentral:rRNA from 1 species